UAGUGAUUUAACUGCUGUUUUGUUCUACUCGUGAAAAUUAGUAAGAUAUUAGGAUGUAAUUUAAAUGCAAGUCAGCGAUUUAACUGCUGUUUUGUUAUACUCACGAUAAAUAUUUUGAUACUCACUAAGUAUGUAGUGUAAAUACAGGUCAGUGAUUUCACUGCUGUUUUGUUCUACUCUUACAAUUAAAAAUACCGUAAGGAACAUGUUAAUUCCCACAUUGACAGGUCAGUGAAUACCUGCUGUUGGAUAUCUAAAUACUCCUCGUCUGACUUUGCUUACUUGCUGGCUCAAUAAACAAUACUUUUCGAUAUGUCAUUUUCUCUGAAAUUAGUUUUCUUCCAUACUUACAUGUAUUACUCAAUAUUGUUAUUUAUUAACAUUGCUCGGAUAUUAUAUUAAUACCGGUAUUUCCUCCAUUAUUUGACAUGUAACUACAUUUUAGUGAUAACUGGUAAUGGAAUAAUUAAUGAAAGGUAGAAUUUUGUUUUUCAUUUCAUUACUUUAAGAUGUUUGGAGAGGCCAGUGAUUAACUGCCUUCAUAUAGAUUUGAUGUGUGCAAGCUCACCUUGGAUGGCACGGAUGUGAUUUGCAUGUCACAUCUUACAUGGAUGUGACCUGCAUAUCACAUCUUGUGGCCUAUUUUAUUUUGAUGUGCCAUCUAUUUGCUAACUUUUUAAUAUGAUGUUUUGAUUGUCUUGUCUUACAGAUACUUUUUUAUAGUCAGUUUUGGGGGAUCAGACAUUAUCAUAUUUUACGUAACUGAUAAGCAAAGCUUGUGAAUCUGAUCCCCCUUCUUGUUUGUUAAAUUGUUCACAUUUAUACCGUCAUUUUAAUAAAUGACAUUUUUCAUCAACAUCAAAGUGUUUUAUUUGACUUUACAAAAUUAGCAAAAACAAGCUGCGGUGAUCUUGCCUAUAAGCAUUAGAAGACAUAAAACAGCAAUUAUUAGAAUAAUAAUUGUAUUUAUGUAUUUAAUGCGAUAAUUCGUUUGGAGGUUUUCGGAAACAUUUACGUUAGUAAAUUGUGAAAAUUCUCAGAUCCACGCCUUGCCUAAUUGUAAUGGAAUGUGUAAGGUCACGUGGUCAGCUCAGCGAGUCAUUCACACUCGCGCGCUCACCACCGCUAACAUGAAGCACGUCUAUUUUGAAGACCCACCUCCACCCCAACAUUCCUAUCCCUUAAUAUGAUCAUUAAUGUGUCAUGUAAAAUUUAUAUUAUAUUAUAGUUUUUACUCAAUUGUUUUACGCUUUCAUGUAUUUGGUUUUGAUUAUGAUCUUUUUGCAAACUUUUUCUUUUGAGGUUUUGUUGGUGUCUUUGAUGUACCAUCUUUUUGCCAACUUUUUCUUGUGAUGUUUGCCUAUUUUAUUUUGAUGUGCCAUCUAUUUGCUAACUUUUUAAUAUGAUGUUUUGAUUGUCUUGUCUUACAGAUACUUUUUUAUAGUCAGUUUUGGGGGAUCAGACAUUAUCAUAUUUUACGUAACUGAUAAGCAAAGCUUGUGAAUCUGAUCCCCCUUCUUGUUUGUUAAAUUGUUCACAUUUAUACCGUCAUUUUAAUAAAUGACAUUUUUCAUCAACAUCAAA